GUGGGGAAUCUUCCACAAUGGACGAAAGUCUGAUGGAGCAACGCCGCGUGAGUGAAGAAGGGUUUCGGCUCGUAAAGCUCUGUUGUCGGGGACGAAUGUGCAGUAUUUGAAUAAAGUACUGUAAUGACGGUACCUGACGAGGAAGCCACGGCUAACUACGUGCCAGCAGCCGCGGUAAUACGUAGGUGGCAAGCGUUUUCCGGAAUUAUUGGGCGUAAAGGGAGCGCAGGCGGGAAGGUAAGUCGGUCUUAAAAGUGCGGGGCUCGACCCCGUGAUGGGAUCGAAACUAUCUUUCUUGAGUGCAGGAGAGGAAAGUGGAAUUCCUAGUGUAGCGGUGAAAUGCGUAGAUAUUAGGAGGAACACCAGUGGCGAAGGCGACUUUCUGGACUGUAACUGACGCUGAGGCUCGAAAGCCAGGGGAGCGAACGGGAUUAGAAACCCUGGUAGUCC
rnacentral:rRNA from 1 species